AGUGAACGCUGGCGGUAGGCCUAACACAUGCAAGUCGAACGGCAGCACAGUAAGAGCUUGCUCUUACGGGUGGCGAGUGGCGGACGGGUGAGGAAUACAUCGGAAUCUACUUUUUCGUGGGGGAUAACGUAGGGAGACUUACGCUAAUACCGCAUACGACCUACGGGUGAAAGCAGGGGAUCAUCGGACCUUGCGCGAUUGAAUGAGCCGAUGUCGGAUUAGCUAGUUGGCGGGGUAAAGGCCCACCAAGGCGACGAUCCGUAGCUGGUCUGAGAGGAUGAUCAGCCACACUGGAACUGAGACACGGUCCAGACUCCUACGGGAGGCAGCAGUGGGGAAUAUUGGACAAUGGGCGCAAGCCUGAUCCAGCCAUACCGCGUGGGUGAAGAAGGCCUUCGGGUUGUAAAGCCCUUUUGUUGGGAAAGAAAAGCAGCAGGUUAAUACCCCGCUGUUCUGACGGUACCCAAAGAAUAAGCACCGGCUAACUUCGUG
rnacentral:rRNA from 1 species